rnacentral:rRNA from 1 species
UACGAAGGGUGCAAGCGUUACUCGGAAUUACUGGGCGUAAAGCGUGCGUAGGUGGUUUGUUAAGUCUGAUGUGAAAGCCCCGGGCUCAACCUGGGAAUUGCAUUGGAUACUGGCGAGCUAGAGUGCGGUAGAGGGUAGUGGAAUUCCCGGUGUAGCAGUGAAAUGCGUAGAGAUCGGGAGGAACAUCUGUGGCGAAGGCGACUGCCUGGACCAGCACUGACACUGAGGCACGAAAGCGUGGGGAGCAAACAGG